GAUGAAGAACGCAGCGAAAUGCGAUAAGUAAUGCGAAUUGCAGAAUCCGUGAGUCAUCGAAUCUUUGAACGCACAUUGCGCCCGCUAGUAUUCUGGCGGGCAUGCCUGUCCGAGCGUCAUUUCAACCCUCAAGCCCCCGGGCUUGGUGUUGGGGAUCGGCGAGCCUCCGCGCCCGCCGUCCCCUAAAUCUAGUGGCGGUCUCGCUGUAGCUUCCUCUGCGUAGUAGCACACCUCGCACUGGGAAACAGCGCGGCCAGGCCGUUAAACCCCCAACUUCUGAACGUUUGACCUCGGAUCAGGUAGGAAUACCCGCUGAACUUAAGCAUAUCAAUAAGCGGAGGA
rnacentral:misc_RNA from 1 species